AGUGAACGCUGGCGGUAGGCCUAACACAUGCAAGUCGAACGGCAGCACAGUAAGAGCUUGCUCUUACGGGUGGCGAGUGGCGGACGGGUGAGGAAUACAUCGGAAUCUACUUUUUCGUGGGGGAUAACGUAGGGAAACUUACGCUAAUACCGAAUACGACCUACGGGUGAAAGCAGGGGAGCUUCGGACCUUGCGCGACUGAAUGAGCCGAUGUCGGAUUAGCUAGUUGGCGGGGUAAAGGCCCACCAAGGCGACGAUCCGUAGCUGGUCUGAGAGGAUGAUCAGCCACACUGGAACUGAGACACGGUCCAGACUCCUACGGGAGGCAGCAGUGGGGAAUAUUGGACAAUGGGCGCAAGCCUGAUCCAGCCAUGCCGCGUGGGUGAAGAAGGCCUUCGGGUUGUAAAGCCCUUUUGUUGGGAAAGAAAAGCAGCAGGUUAAUACCCCGCUGUUCUGACGGUACCCAAAGAAUAAGCACCGGCUAACUUCGUG
rnacentral:rRNA from 1 species